rnacentral:rRNA from 1 species
UACGUAGGGGGCGAGCGUUGUCCGGAUUCAUUGGGCGUAAAGGGCGCGCAGGCGGCUUGGAGAGCCCGGCGUGAAAGCUCCCAGCUUAACUGGGAGAGGUCGUUGGGGACCUACAGGCUAGAGGACGGUAGGGGCAAGCGGAAUUCCCGGUGUAGUGGUGGAAUGCGUAGAGAUCGGGAGGAACACCGGUGGCGAAGGCGGCUUGCUGGGCCGGACCUGACGCUCAGGCGCGAAAGCGUGGGGAGCGAUCCGG